rnacentral:rRNA from 1 species
CCUACGGGAGGCAGCAGUGGGGAAUAUUGGGCAAUGGGCGCAAGCCUGACCCAGCAACGCCGCGUGAAGGAAGAAGGCUUUCGGGUUGUAAACUUCUUUUCUCAGGGACGAAGCAAGUGACGGUACCUGAGGAAUAAGCCACGGCUAACUACGUGCCAGCAGCCGCGGUAAUACGUAGGUGGCAAGCGUUAUCCGGAUUUACUGGGUGUAAAGGGCGUGUAGGCGGGAAAGCAAGUCAGAUGUGAAAACCAUGGGCUCAACCUGUGGCAUGGAUUUGAAACUGUUUUUCUUGAGUACUGGGGAGGCAGACGGAAUUCCUGGUGUAGCGGUGAAAUGCGUAGAUAUUAGGAGGAACACCAGUGGCGAAGGCGGUCUGCUGGACAGCAACUGACGCUGAGGCGCGAAAGCGUGGGGAGCAAACAGGAUUAGAUACCCGGGUAGUC